rnacentral:rRNA from 1 species
AGUGGCGGACGGGUGAGUAACACGUAGUCAACCUACCCUUGAGCGGGGGACAACCCAGGGAAACUUGGGCUAAUACCGCAUAAGACCACGGACUGGGAUGUUUGUGGGAAAAGCAGCGAUGCGCUUAAGGAUGAGACUGCGGCCUAUCAGGUAGUUGGCGAAAUAAAGGCCCACCAAGCCUACGACGGAUAGCCGGUCUGAGAGGACGAACGGCCACACUGGGACUGAGACACGGCCCAGACUCCUACGGGAGGCAGCAGUGGGGAAUCUUGCACAAUGGGCGAAAGCCUGAUGCAGCGACGCCGCGUGGAGGAUGAAGGCCUUCGGGUUGUAAACUCCUUUUGUAGGGGACAAUAAUGAUGGUACCCUAUGAAUAAGCCACGGCUAACUCUGUGCCAGCAGCCGCGGUAAGACAGAGGUAGCGAGCGUUGUUCGGAAUUACUGGGCUUAAAGGGCGCGUAGACGGUAAGAUAAGUCUAAGGUGGAAUGCCACAGCCCAACUGUGGAACUGCCUUGGAAACUGCUUCACUUGAGUUAGACAAAAAAAGGCGGAAUUCCUGGUGUAGCGGUGAAAUGCGUAGAUAUCAGGAGGAAGGCCAGUGGUGAAGACGGCCUUCUGGGUCUUAACUGACGCUGAGGCGCGAAAGCGUGGAGAGCAAACAGGAUUAGAUACCCUAAUAGUCCACGCCCUAAACGGUGG